rnacentral:rRNA from 1 species
UNUGACUUGAGUGCAGAAGGGGAGAGUGGAAUUCCAUGUGUAGCGGUGAAAUGCGUAGAUAUAUGGAGGAACACCAGUGGCGAAAGCGGCUCUCUGGUCUGUCACUGACGCUGAGGCUCGAAAGCGUGGGUAGCGAACAGGAUUAGAUACCCUGGUAGUCCACGCCGUAAACGAUGAGUGCUAGGUGUUAGUCCCUUUCCGGGGCUUAGUGCCGGAGCUAACGCAAUAAGCACUCCGCCUGGGGAGUACGACCGCAAGGUUGAAACUCAAAGGAAUUGACGGGGGCCCGCACAAGCGGUGGAGCAUGUGGUUUAAUUCGAAGCAACGCGAAGAACCUUACCAGGUCUUGACAUCCCGAUGCUAUUCUUAGAGAUAGGAAGUUACUUCGGUACAUCGGAGACAGGUGGUGCAUGGUUGUCGUCAGCUCGUGUCGUGAGAUGUUGGGUUAAGUCCCGCAACGAGCGCAACCCUUAUUGUUAGUUGCCAUCAUUAAGUUGGGCACUCUAGCGAGACUGCCGGUAAUAAACCGGAGGAAGGUGGGGAUGACGUCAAAUCAUCAUGCCCCUUAUGACCUGGGCUACACACGUGCUACAAUGGUCGGUACAACGAGUUGCGAGCCGGUGACGGCAAGCUAAUCUCUGAAAGCCGAUCUCAGUUCGGAUUGGAGGCUGCAACUCGCCUCCAUGAAGUCGGAAUCGCUAGUAAUCGCGGAUCAGCACGCCGCGGUGAAUACGUUCCCGGGCCUUGUACACACCGCCCGUCACACCACGAGAGUUUGUAACACCCGAAGUCGGUGAGGUAACCUUUUAGGGGCCAGCCGC